GAAGAAAAAUAAAUAAACAAAUAAAAAGGAAAGAGAGAGAGGGAGGGAAAAAUGCCGGACCGGAUCACGCCCCCUCUCCCCACACACUCAAAGGCGCCCCCCCUGCCCCCCACGUCCCCCUACAAAGGCGCCCCCUCCUUAAAAAUCCCCAAAGUGUUGAAAUCCUUCCAGAAAAAAGAAAAAAACACAAAAAAUGACAAAAAAUCAAAAUACCACCACCAUCACCACCUCAACCACCACCACCACCACAACUACAAACAUUUGCACCAGUACCACCACCACCACCACCACCGCGACACUGCUACUACUACUGCUGCUACGACUGCUGCCACUGGUGUUAGGAAGGUGGUGCGGCCCUCAGCUGGUGUUAAAGGUGGUGUUAAGGAGAAGUGUGGUAGCAGUGGUGGUGGUAGCAGUGGUGGUGGUAGCAGUGGUGGUGGUAGCAGUGGUGGUGGUAGCAGUGGUGGUGUGUUUCUGCAUUCUAGUAAGAUGACCACCACCACCACCACCUCCGCCACCACCACCACCACCACCACUUCGCUCUACCCAGCCUUACCUGACCCAACCAGCUCUCUUAUAGCGCCCCUGUCCCUGGCCCUCCCUAUACCCACCCACGCCCACGCCCACGCCCACGCCCACACCCACACCCACGCCCAGGCACUCCAUCCCUCCCCCUCCUCUCCCUCUCUCUUCUCUGUCUAUGCAAGGAGAGAGUGAAUUAGUUGACCUCCUCACCUGUCCAGUCUGUAUGGAGGAAUAUGGAGGAGGAGGAGGAGGAGGAGGAGGAGGAGGAGGAGGAGGAGGAGGAGGAGGAGGACAGCCACUCUUCCUCCUCUGUCAUCAUAGCGUGUGCAGAAAUUGUCUUCCUAAAUUAAUCAAGACACAUUUGACAAGAGGAGGCAGAGAACAGGCAGAGGUGGUGUGCCCGGAAUGUAGAGUGGUGACGCUGGUUCCCCCUGGCGGCCUGACCCAGAACUUCUACCUCGUCAGUUUGAUAGAAGCGAAGAAGAGGCGCCCAAAGGAAGCCAGCAGCCGGCUGAGGAUGUGGUGUGACACGUGCGGGGGCGUGGCACUCGACAAAUGCGCUGACCACACCUUGUCACACCUGAACCACGUGUUGGAGAGCCUCGCCACAGACUACCACACCCAGCACCGCCACACCGCCACAAUGCUGCAGGAGAGAGUGAGAGAGGAGGGAGAGAAGGUCCUGGAGGUGAGGGAGGCGAUGGAGGAGUUGGACAGAGCUGCCUCCUACGUCAGAGAGAAACUGGAGGAAAGAUUGGAGAAAGUUCCCUCCACCAAACCACCGUUACCUCCCUUCUCAUGGAGGUGCACCAAAUGGAGAGAAAAAUAGACACAAUGGGGGCUAGAAAGGGGGCGGAUUCCCCUUCUUCCCCCUCCCCCUCCUUAACCGGACCCGAACCAUUUGUAUCCGGUUCACAAGCAGCAUCCAGCGGUUCGGAAGGGUGCAGCCUCACAAGAUCCGUAUCCAGUGUUGAAAGUUACAGUUCGAAUUCGGAUAAGUUCGGAAACAGUUCGGAUAAACGGAGCUACACGCUGGAUCGAUACGGUUCUGGCUUGGAUAGAUUCACCUCCACUUCGGAUAAAUUGACCUCUGCUUUAGACAAAUUCGGUUCCAGUUCGGUUAAAUUCGGUUCGGAACGGAAAGGUCCAAAUCCCUACCGGAAAAAUACAGCAUUGAUCUUGGGAUUAGCCAGUUCGGAUUAGGGGGAGAAAUAUCCGGACUAACGUUCAGAACCGGACUGGAGAAGCACGUAUCCGGCCUGGAACGAUCGAAUUCUAGUCCGGCUAAGUACCUGAGUCCGGAUAAAAGGGAGAAAAUAAGCGAACAACCGGACUUCCUCACAGAAACACACAAAUUCGGAUGUGGAAACCAGGAAGGACCGGAUACCUUCAAAUCCGGAAAGGAGAACACCGAAACCGCAUCCGAACUGAACCACAUCGGAUAC